UACGUAGGGUGCAAGCGUUAAUCGGAAUUACUGGGCGUAAAGCGCGCGUAGGCGGCUAUGCAAGUCAGAUGUGAAAUCCCCGGGCUCAACCUGGGAACUGCAUUUGUGACUGCAUGGCUAGAGUACGGUAGAGGGGGAUGGAAUUCCGCGUGUAGCAGUGAAAUGCGUAGAUAUGCGGAGGAACACCGAUGGCGAAGGCAAUCCCCUGGACCUUUACUGACGCUCAUGCACGAAAGCGUGGGGAGCAAACAGG
rnacentral:rRNA from 1 species